GUUAACUAACCCUAACCCUUCGUUUCUUCAUCAAGGACCAAGGUUGUUGCUUUCUUCAUCAAGGAUUCAAGGUUGUAGAACAGUAGAAGACCUUCAAGUGGAUUUAUCUUCAGGGAUUUCAACCCUAGUCAAUUUCAUCUCUAAUCACCACCACCAGGUCUACCACGAAGAAUUAUCGAUCUUGAUAGAAAACGACCAGUUAGUGUGUGAUUUUGGAAGCAGAAGCUCAUCUGACUAUCUAAUUAGUACUAGAGUACUCGAUUGAGG